AGAAUUCAAAAGAUACUCCUUUACUACUGACGAAAAGUCAAAUUAAGGCUGUAAGAAGAAUGGUAUUUAGUAUAAUAAAGAAAUCCAUGGGUGUACGCAAGUUGGAUAAURUAGGAAAGCAGGCGUACGAAGUUGAUYUGCGUUCUGUAGUGAUAUGGGGCAUUAGAGAGAUGAGGCUUUUUGGUCAAGACAAAGAAGAAAUGGAAUUCAACAUAAAGCUCGAUGGGCGAACAUUGGGGGGAAGAGACCAAGUCCUUAUCUGGUUAGUGCCAAUGAGCCACAAAGGAUCAACGCAAAGCUCCAAAUCAGUCUAUCCGAUAGCCAUAGCCAACUGUCAAGAGUCGAGUCACUGCAGAUUAUAAAGCACUCAGUUUGUUAAUGAAAAAGAAGGGCUGUGAGGAUGAAACCUGGAGAUUAGGYGGACGAGGCUUGGAUACUGAAUUUUGCAUAUAUUGCUUGGCUAUAAGGGGUUGUGCAUGCAAAAUUACUGACGACGAUGGUGCUUGUGUUGGUUGCUUAAAGGACUGUUUCAACAGAAGCAAGGCAAAUAUUGGGAG